GUGAAUCAUCGAAUCUUUGAACGCAAAUUGCACUCUCUAGCAUGCCGAAGAGUAUGCCUGUGUGAGGGUCAAUAUAAUCAAAAUCGGAGCUAUUCCUUUUUGGUGACGCACCGGAGUUUGGGUCAUCUAAACGUUUUUUUUUAAGAGAGCUAAAAUUAACAUUCUUGUUUGCACACUUUUGAGAAGGACAUAAUUUUUAUUUGUUCGUCUACCCGGUUGUCAAAAGUUGUAUUAGAU
rnacentral:misc_RNA from 1 species